UCGGCCCCUCCCGAGUUUGCCUUCCUUCCUAUAAAGGAGAAAGCUUAGUUGAAAAGGAGAAAGCUUUAAGCCAAUUGAAAAAGGCAUGACAGAAGAACCUAGCAAGUUCGGCUUGCUCAACAGAUCCAGUUCUCAGAUGGAGAUGCGGCAUGCACUAGGAGAGUCAUGUAGCAUGCACAGGUUUAGAUGGAAAAUGGAUUUAGCUAGCUUAAUGGAUCCAAGUCCAAGUCUGAUUCUCGGAUGAUAUAUAGCAAGUGUCGAAGUGUCUUGAACUCUCCUUUAAUGUAGUUGUAUAGAUGGUCAACAGGUCAAAGAAUUUAGUUAUCAUAUAAAAGAAUUUAGAAUUUUUUUUGCA